GUUUUGAUUAGAUUACAUUCAAAAUGAUUAGACGGAUAUUGAAUACCUUGAUUACAACUAAACAAUUUACAAUACCUGAAGAGUGGGUCUCCACUGAUUGAUAAACUCUUGAUAUACUUCAGCUCUCUAUACGCUCUCGCACACUGUCUCAAUAUCUCAAUACGAUACUUGCCUUCGAUACUGUCUGGAUACUAUUACGUCAUGCACAUUUGUCAACACUUAAUCACUAAUUCAAUCGGUUACCAUGCAAAUCAAAUAGGUUAAAUCAAAUAGAAUCAUGUUAAAUCAAACUAAAGUUAUAAAUUAUUAAUCAUCUUCAAAUAGUUUGUAAACUGUCUGAUCCAA